UAACAUGCAAGUCGAACGAUGAACCACUUCGGUGGGGAUUAGUGGCGAACGGGUGAGUAACACGUGGGCAAUCUGCCCUGCACUCUGGGACAAGCCCUGGAAACGGGGUCUAAUACCGGAUACUGAUCCGCCUGGGCAUCCAGGCGGUUCGAAAGCUCCGGCGGUGCAGGAUGAGCCCGCGGCCUAUCAGCUUGUUGGUGAGGUAGUGGCUCACCAAGGCGACGACGGGUAGCCGGCCUGAGAGGGCGACCGGCCACACUGGGACUGAGACACGGCCCAGACUCCUACGGGAGGCAGCAGUGGGGAAUAUUGCACAAUGGGCGAAAGCCUGAUGCAGCGACGCCGCGUGAGGGAUGACGGCCUUCGGGUUGUAAACCUCUUUCAGCAGGGAAGAAGCGAAAGUGACGGUACCUGCAGAAGAAGCGCCGGCUAACUACGUGCCAGCAGCCGCGGUAAUACGUAGGGCGCAAGCGUUGUCCGGAAUUAUUGGGCGUAAAGAGCUCGUAGGCGGCUUGUCACGUCGGUUGUGAAAGCCCGGGGCUUAACCCCGGGUCUGCAGUCGAUACGGGCAGGCUAGAGUUCGGUAGGGGAGAUCGGAAUUCCUGGUGUAGCGGUGAAAUGCGCAGAUAUCAGGAGGAACACCGGUGGCGAAGGCGGAUCUCUGGGCCGAUACUGAACGCUGAGGAGCGAAACGCGUGGGGAGCGAACAGGAUUAGAUACCCUGGUAGUCCAC
rnacentral:rRNA from 1 species